rnacentral:rRNA from 1 species
CCUACGGGGUGCAGCAGUGGGGAAUAUUGCUCAAUGGGGGAAACCCUGAUGCAGCGACGCCGCGUGCGUGAAGAAGUAUCUCGGUAUGUAAAGCUCUAUCAGUAGGGAAGAAAAUGAUGGUACUUGACGAAGAAGCCCCGGCUAACGACGUGACAGCAGCGGCGGUACUACGUAGGGGGCAACCGUUAUCCGGAUUUACUGGGUGUAAAGGGAGAGUAGAAGGUAGAACAAGUCUGGAGUGAAAUGCCGGGGCUUAACCCCGGAACGGGUGUGGAAACUGUGAGGCUGGAGUGCAGGAGGGGUAGGCGGAAUUCCGAGUGUAGCGGUGAAAUGCGGAGAUAUUAGGAGGAACACCGGUGGCGAAGGCGGCUUACUGGACUGUAACUGACGUUGAGGCUCGAAAGCGUGGGGAGCAAACAGGAUUAGAUACCCCAGUAGUC